rnacentral:antisense_RNA from 1 species
AAAAAAAAAGAAAAAAGAAAUACGCACGAGCAGCCAGGCGCAGUGGCUCACGCCUGUAAUCCCAGCACUUUUGGAGGCUGAGGCGGGCGGAUCAUCUGAGGUCAGGAGUUCAAGACCAGCCUGGCCAACAUGGUGAAACCCUGUCUCUACUAAAAAUACAAAAAAUUAGCCAGGUGUGGUGGUGGGCGCCUGUAGUCCCAGCUACUCGGGAGGCUGAGGCAGGAGAAUUGCUUGAACCCAGGAGGCGGAGGUUGCAGUGAGCCGAGAUGGUGCCAUUGCACUCCAGCCCAGGACUCUGUCUCCAAAAAAAAAAAAAGAAAGGAAGAAAAAUAAGCACAGGCAUGUGUGGAGACCUGGAGGCAGGGCUGCCCCUCACGAACCAUCCACAAUGCCAAGGAAAGCAGAAGCAAACGUCCAGCAGCAGGGAGCACAGGGCAUGUGAAACCGACACUGAGGAAACAGCCACGGGAGACAGCACACAGGGAGAAAGAAAGGCUCGGGCACUCCCUUGCUGUGGUUCAGGCCUGUUCUACCACCCCGGGGGUCACCAUCGCCCACGGACCUUCCUGCUGGGUGCCUGUAGCACAGCGCCUCCUGACAGCUCAGGUUUAAGGGAAGUUUGCCGGAUAACUAAAAUGAGGCUGGAGGGAGGAGGGAGGAGGGAGCAGGGAGGAGCUAGCCCACAGGAGCCAAUGCAGACCUGACCCCACUGGUGCCGGACUGACUCUGGGAGAGUCAUUAGGGCAGCUUUCUCAGGCUGGAUGAGCACUGGGGGUUGGGGGCUUGCACUGGCCCACCCCACCACUCAGGAAACCUUCCCUCAGCAGGACCUGCCCUGCACAGAUCAUGGGCAGCCUCCCUCUGCUGCCCACUUCCACAGCCCCAGACUCCAUCUCAACUGCAGCCAGGAGUCACUGCUAACACCACAAAGGACCUGUUCCUGCACCAGCACGGGCCAGCUCUGGGGCAGGUGCCCGGGACAGAGUCACGAGUGGCAAGCAGACAAUAACCAACAGGCAAGAUGGACAGACUGAUUGCCGGGAUGAUGUGGCAGGAGGAACUGGAAUGGUGGUGGAGGAACCCCAGCCCUGGGGACAGACCUCCACCCAUGCACAGACCUCCGAGCUGUAGCCUGCUCUGGAACACUAAGGGCAGCACCAGAGGUUGAAGAGGAGCAGACGCAGGAACUUUGGGGGACACGCUCGGGCAACAGUGAGAAAAGCCCUAGGCUGGGGCAGAGGAAGUCCUCGAUGGAACAAGCAUCAAGACACGAAGUGCAAGAAAUUUGCCUAAAACAAGAGGCAGUCCCAGGGCAGACCGGGGCCCCUGGAGAAGGGUUCUGCAAUCUAUCCUCACUGCCUGCAGCUUCCCUCCUGUCCCUUGAUAACCACACCAAAGAAAGAUAACAACAGUCUCUGCCUCCUGGGACACAGCGAGGGCCACUGUGCCCAGCCCACCAUCUGUGCACAGGGCAGGCUCAGAUGGCUGCCGCCACCAACCUGUGUCAUCCGGGAGUGCCUUUCUCAAGAGCCCUCAGUGCUUAUCUAGCGCUGGCCUGCCCCACCUCGGGUUAAAUCAAAACCUCUUUGGUGGCCGGGCGCGGUGGCUCACGCCUGUAAUCCCACGGAGGCCGAGGCGGGCACAUCACCUGAGGUCAGGAGUUGGAGACCAGCCUGGACAACAUGACAAAAUACCUCUCUGCUAAAAAUACAAAAAAAUUAGCCGGGCGUGGUGGCGCACACCUGUAAUUCCAGCUACUCGGGAGGCUGAGGCAGGAGAAUUGCUUGAACUGAACUGGGGAGGCGGAGAUUGCAGUGAGCAGAGAUCAAGCCACUGCCCUCCAGCCUGGGCGACAGAGUGAGACUCCGUCUCAAAACAAAACAACAACGCCUCUUUGGAACCAGCAGAGGAACAGACUCAGGCCCUAUUAGACUCCAGCCAUGCAAAGUUCCUAGUCACUGCCCACUGGGAGAGUGGGGACCUGAAAGGACACAGGGCCAGGGGAAAGCUCUUUCUGCCCAGCAGCUCCUGGAGAAGAGCGACUCUGUGCCGGGACACCCUUCCCCCUGCGGCACCCAGCGCAGCCUAUCUCUGAGGGAGUCCUGGCUCACAGCGUUUCUGACCGGAGUCACAGCCUGAACCCAGGCAAGAGGCGCCUGAGUGGGAACAACCCCUUCCUGGGGACUCCGCAGGCUCCCCAAGGGACACUUCAGACCCGGAAGGGAGGGGCAGCGCCCAGAGCGCCCUCCUGCAGCCCCGGGCACUGCGUGGCCACCGCCCCCUGACGGCCACGGCCCCAAAGGCGCCGCGCAGGGCCCGGCUCCCAGAGGGACCACCCGGGGUGACGAACCGGGGUGGGGGCGGGUUCCUCCCGCUGCACCCGCACAACUUCCCCACUUCAUGCUCUUGCAAAGCCCCUGCAGAGGCUCGAAGGUGCCACGCGCGUGCGGGGUAAUCAGAAGGCACCGUGCGCCGCACCACCUCCAAAUCCCAAGCCCUGGCCUGGCGGGUCGGGCAGGGCCACACCCCGAGCCGACAACAUAGACCAACUCGCACAGUCGAGCAGGCGCACAGCCCGCCGGGCGCUCGAGGCCGAGGGCCCCACCCACUGGGGGCAGAGACCAAGGUCAACGCUGGGGGUGCGCACCCGGGCUCCUUCCCCGAGCCCCGAGGAGCCUGCCGGCUUGGGCCAGGUCCGUCCUCCCGGCCGCUUCAAGCCCGCGGGGUUCCGCCCGGCACAUGGGAGAACGGGGCGCCGCCGCCUGGCCUCCGGGAGUGGGGGACUUGGGCUCGCGGCGAGGACGGACCACCCGCCUAGCUCGGCCAGAUCUGCAGCCCCCUCCCGCUCGCCAGUGGAGUGGAGGCGGCGCCCACGCCUACCGGUCCUCGCACGCGGUCUCGCUUUUCUCAGCCUGCCGGCCUGGUGUGUCUUGGGCCGUAGGUGGCGACGUGGGCGAGGGGUCAGCGUCCGCGCGGGCCGGGGGCGCAGCCAUGGCGCUCGGAGGCCUCUCCGCGGGCCGGGCCGGACGGCGCGCAUGGGCCGCCGGGAGCUAGCGGUUCCCUCUUCUGCGAACCGUGGGCUACAAGCCCCACAGGGCCGCGCGUCGCGGACUACAAGCCCCACAGGGCCGCGCGUCGCGGACUACAAGCCCCACAGGGCCGCGCGUCGCGGACUACAAGCCCCACAGGGCCGCGCGUCGCGGACUACAAGCCCCACAGGGCCGCGCGUCGCGGACUACAAGCCCCACAGGGCCGCGCGGCGGGCAUGCGGGACCCGUAGUUCGGCAGCCUCCGCCACGUGCCUGGAGGGCCCCGCCCCGUUUUUCACCACAAACUGAGCCGCACAAAAACCCUGGAAAAAAAUCAAUAAACAUUUAUUUGAUACAGUCAUUUUAAUACAUACAGUGAUGGCCCGUCCCCACGCCACUCGGGACCAGGGCGCGGGGCGGGGACGAGGACCGGGGACAGAUGGUCACAAGGCGGGCGGGGCCCGAACUCACCGUCGAAACAUCUCGCAAAUAAACACUUUGUAGAUAGAAUAUAUAUGUAUAUAUAUAUGGUUACAAGUGAUAGCUGGAACCUCUUUCAAAAUGCACUUAUGUACUGAUAACUGGCAUUAAAAAACCCAAACCAAG